GGAGAAUUACCCAAGUCUGGUUGAAGGGAGCGGUCUUGAAAACCGCCAGGUGGUGAAAGCCACGCGGGGGUUCGAAUCCCUCAUUCUCCG
rfam:Spiroplasma eriocheiris strain DSM 21848, complete genome.